rnacentral:rRNA from 1 species
GACGUAGGGCGCGAGCGUUGUCCGGAUUUACUGGGCGUAAAGCGCACGUAGGUGGGUGAUUAAGUCGAAUGUGAAACCCCCGAGCUUAACUUGGGGACUGCAUGCGAUACUGAACACCUAGAGUAUGGUAGAGGGAAGUGGAAUUUCCGGAGUAGCGGUGAAAUGCGCAGAUAUCGGGAGGAACACCGGUGGCGAAGGCGGUUCUCUGGGCCUUACCUGACGCUGAGGAGCGAAAGCGUGGGGAGCGAACAGG